AGCGAACGCUGGCGGCAGGCCUAACACAUGCAAGUCGAACGGAUCCUUCGGGAUUAGUGGCGGACGGGUGAGUAACACGUGGGAACGUGCCCUUUGGUUCGGAACAACUCAGGGAAACUUGAGCUAAUACCGGAUGUGCCCUUCGGGGGAAAGAUUUAUCGCCAUUGGAGCGGCCCGCGUCUGAUUAGCUAGUUGGUGAGGUAACGGCCCACCAAGGCGACGAUCAGUAGCUGGUCUGAGAGGAUGAUCAGCCACACUGGGACUGAGACACGGCCCCGACUUCUAAGGGAGGCAGGCGUUGGGAAUCCUGCGCAAUGGGCGAAAGCCUGACGCAGCCCAGCCGGGUGAAUGAAGGAAGGUGUAGGAUUGUAAAAUUCUUUCAGCGGGGACGAUAAUGACGGUACCCGCAGAAGAAGCUCCGGCUAACUUCGUG
rnacentral:rRNA from 1 species